rnacentral:rRNA from 1 species
AUGACCAACGUCCACCGCCUCUCCCCUGAUGCCUACACCUUCAACAUACUCAUCAACAGCUCCUGCCGUGUCGAAGGCGUCGAUGCCGCCAUGCGGUGGUUCGAGGAGAUGCAGCGCCGGAGCUGUGCGCCGACUGGUGUGAGCUUCAAUACUCUUAUGCGCGGGUUCUUCAGAGAAGGAAGGUACAAGGAAGGCCUUAAGGUUGCUCACGAGAUGCUGCAGCUUGGAGCCGGGCUGUCGGUUGCUUCCAUGGAGAUUUUGAUAGGUGGGUUGUGCGGUGGAGGCGACGCUUUGAAGGCAUCAGAGGUGUUUGCAGAGUUUUUGGUGGAUGCGGUGGUGCCGGAAGGGUUUGAUUGCUUGGAUCUGGUUGAAUCCCUAUGCCAUGUUGGAAGGGUGGACAAAGCAGUGGAAAUAGUGGAGAUGGUAUUGGAGAGGAACGGGGUAUGCUGCUUAAGUGUCCCUGCUGGCAUAACAGUUCUGGAUUGCUUGAUGAAGGCGGGGAAGCUGGAUGAUGUGUGCCGAUUGAUGGGAAGGAUGGUUGGGGAGGGGAUUGUACCAGAUACCAUAUCUUGUAACUGUAUCUUCGAGGCACUUUGUGAAGCUGGCACUUCUGAUGCAAACAAGCUGAGGAUUCUGGCUAAGGAGGAGGGUUUUCAGGCUGAUGGUGUGACUUAUAGCAUGUUGGUGCAGGGGUUUGGUAGGCAAGGAAGGGUGAAGGAAGGCGAGGCUGUGUUGGAUGAAAUGCUUGAUUUAGGGUUUAUACCUAACAUUGUGGCUUACAAUAGGCUUCUUGAUAGCUUGCACGUGCGGAGAUCUUUGCAAUAA